CCUACGGGAGGCAGCAGUGAGGAAUAUUGGUCAAUGGGCUUACGCCUGAACCAGCCAAGUCGCGUGAGGGAAGACUGCCCUAUGGGUUGUAAACCUCUUUUGUCAGGGAGCAAUUGGCGCUACGUGUAGCGUUAUCGAGAGUACCUGAAGAAAAAGCAUCGGCAAACUCCGUGCCGGCAGCCGCGGUAAUACGGAGGAUGCGAGCGUUAUCCGGAUUAAUUGGGUUAAAAGGGUGCGUAGGCGGAAUGCCAAGUCAGCGGUAAAAUCGGGGGGCGAAACCUCGAUCCGCCGUUGAAACUGGCAGUCUUGAGUGGAGGAGAGGUAGGCGGAAUGCGUGGUGUAGCGGUGAAAUGCAUAGAUAUCACGCAGAACUCCGAUUGCGAAGGCAGCAUACCGGCGCCCAACUGACGCUGAAGCACGAAAGCGUGGGUAUCGAACAGGAUUAGAUACCCGAGUAGUC
rnacentral:rRNA from 1 species